UACAGAGGUCCCAAGCGUUGUUCGGAUUCAUUGGGCGUAAAGGGUGCGUAGGCGGCGCGGUAAGUCGGGUGUGAAAUCUCGGAGCUUAACUCCGAAACUGCAUUCGAUACUGCCGUGCUUGAGGACUGGAGAGGAGACUGGAAUUUACGGUGUAGCGGUGAAAUGCGUAGAUAUCGUAAGGAACACCGGUGGCGAAGGCGGCAUCCUGGACCAAUUCUGACGCUGAUGAGCGAAAGCCAGGGGAGCAAACGGG
rnacentral:rRNA from 1 species